rnacentral:lncRNA from 1 species
CACAUUCAUGCUGCUUCUCGCAUCUUUUCCCAGGUGCUAAGGAGCAACAGGAGGCACUUCACCCAUAGUACUGCAAGGCCCCAGGCACUAAGCACACAGUGGUGAGGAGAGUGAUCUGUGGGAAGGCAGUGGAGAACAGCAGCACUCUCAAGAAAUUGAUCUUCAUUUGCACUACAAAGGAAAGGAUGAAGCUCAGAGCCUGCACCAUCUUCAGGAAGAAACAUGUUCCCCUCUGGUAAAAAGAAGCUCUCCCCAUCCAACUGCAGGAGUGUCCCACUUGUUUCCCUGUCUCCUCAGAGGCUCAGAAGUGCACCCUCCCAGCCUGCCAUGCUUACUGACCAUCCCGUUCAGUGCAUGCAGCAGCAGCAUUUGCUGCAUCCUUCAGCUGCCUUGAGGAUAUUUCGGUGGGCUUCAGAAGAGUGGAAGAUUACGAACAUGGGAAAGUAUAAUAACAUGUAGAGGAGAAAAAGAAAAAAAUGUCAUAACCAGGUUUUCUAAGCCAGGAAUAAUGAGGACAAAUGCAACAUCAUUUCAGCUUGGGAGAAGAUACUAGUCAGUGAAUUCCUUACUCUGAAAACAGAUUUCCACCAGCUGUCUGCAUGAUGAACAGUACCUGAUUUUCAUCAGCUUAAGUCCUACAAAAAGAAUAAAAUCAAGAUCUAUGCAGGAGCCAGAAGCGAGUCUGAAUUUUCCUGUAUUAUGAAAGAAUUGCCCAAGGACGGGUAGAAGAAAUCACGAAGGCCAAAGGUGGAAUUGAAAUUGAAAGGAAGCGUAAAUGGUAACAUGUAAGUUUUCUGCAGGUACAUCAGCAGAGAAGAAAACGAACAAAGAAACAAACAACAACAACGAAAACAUAGAAAACAUUCCAUUGCUGAAAGGGACAGGUAAAUGCAGAAACAAGGAAGAUGGAAAAACUUGUAGUAGUCCUAGCAGGGGAAUUUGGAUAAAGAGGGGUGCCUUCCUAGUUGUGAAAGGCAGAAGUGAGGAAAAAAUAAUAAUGUAGACACACGCAAUGCACAAAACUAGUCAGGGUGUAUCUUAGGAACCUGACUGAUGUAAAAAAAAAGAAAAAAAAAAGGCAUCAUCACAGGAAGAAAAAACAAGGGGUAGUUAAAACUCAGAACACCUUGUCUAGGACUCCAGAGAAAGUUGUGCGGUGAGCCUCACAGCCUCCUAAGAGUGAGGUAACUGAGAACACUCAGCAUGACUUAGUCUGGGACAAAUUUUACUUGAUCAGCCUUUCAUCAUUAAAUGACGCUCUGUGCAAGGCAAGCUGAUUCACUGUGACUUUAUAAGGCUUUAUACACACUUUUAAAUAAGAUCUUUUAAUCAGACUUGACAGAUGUAUUUUGGAUGGGGUAGUACAAGGUAGAUGAAAAGUUGGAUGGACUGAUAUGUCCUGAGUCAAUGUUUCAAAAUCUAACCAACAGGUUGCUAGUAGAUAUAUUCCUCAGGAACUAGUACUGAGACCAAUACAAGUUAUCAGUUAUUACCUUCAGUAGUGGUACGGAUAAUUACACAUAAAGCAAUCUCCUGAAGCUUGCAGGGUGUAAGAGAGGGCAAUGACUGUUAAAUUGGAGGGUAAGUUAGUCUCUCUAAGGGACAUUCAUAGGUAAGAAAAAAACUGCCAGCUACUUCAUGAAGUUUAGCAAAAUCAAAUGCAAGGAGGCAAAACUUCAUCACUUAGAAAUUUAUAAAUAAAAGUUUUGCAAUAGUUAAGCUUGAACCAGGCUGCCUAGAGAUUCUGUGAACUUUUCAACUCUGGAGAUUUUAAAAAAUCGAUUGGACAAUGCACUGAACAACCUACCUAACUUGAAAGAUAACCCUGAUUUGAGUUUGGACUUGAUGACCUUCAGUGGUCCAACUUAAAUUAUUCUGCAGUUUAAUGAUGUAAUAUUGUCAACUGCAGUAUAGAUAGGCCUUUGGCAUUUUUACAGUUUAGUGGUAAUUGAAGGGGAAUUUGAGAUUGCAGUGGUUGUAUUUAUGGGAGAAAAUAAAGUCUAAUUAUGUUCUGUCUGUAGUCCCAGUUUGGAGCUGUUUUCAUUCUUGAAUCCGUAUGGGAUAACAGCAGUUGUGCUGCCUCAUAUGUUUACUGUGAAAACAGCUGCACUAGUCUAAGGUACCUUAAACCAAGAUCAUGAAGGUAAUGAGAUUUCUAAGUUGUUAUUACCCCAUUAUCUCAAAGCUCCUUGAAAACUUACCCAUCACACACCACUAUGUAAAAACACAAAAACAUGACCAUUCUACAGUCCUAGUACCUGACCAAAUAUCCAAAUAUCUUUCUCCUCCAUGAGAUUUCCAAAAGUUAAGGAAGGUACCAUAGAUCUGUUUUGAGCAAUGGACCAACUCCAUUUUGCAGAAAGAAGUGGAACUAGACAAGCUUGCCACAAUGCAAUUAAACUGAAGAAUCUAGAAUGAGCAGUGAAAAAUAAAUCAUGAGGAAAUAAAACUAAGGAAACGUAUUAAUUCCACGGAGACCACCACCAACCAUCUGAUUUGGUUAGUACAGACCAGUACAGGGCAGAAAUACAUUCACUUGAAUAAAUGGGGAAAUUGCAAGGCUAAGUUUCCUGAGCUACUACACAUACAUUUCUUUGAGUUUGUUUCAUAUCUAUUAAAUCAUUUGCUGUCUCACUUAUCUUAGCUCUAAAUCUGCAUGCUGCUAACUGUUUUAGUUGAAUUAAAGUGAUUUGUGAGCAAACUAGAAUAAGAGUUCUCCAGUCUUUUCUUUG